AACGAACGCUGGCGGCAGGCUUAACACAUGCAAGUCGAGCGCCCCGCAAGGGGAGCGGCAGACGGGUGAGUAACGCGUGGGAAUCUACCGAGCCCUGCGGAAUAGCUCCGGGAAACUGGAAUUAAUACCGCAUACGCCCUACGGGGGAAAGAUUUAUCGGGGUUUGAUGAGCCCGCGUUGGAUUAGCUAGUCGGUGGGGUAAGUGCCUACCAAGGCGACGUGCCAUAGCUGGUCUGAGAGGAUGAUCAGCCACAUUGGGACUGAGACACGGCCCAAACUCCUACGGGAGGCAGCAGUGGGGAAUAUUGGACAAUGGGGGCAACCCUGAUCCAGCCAUGCCGCGUGAGUGAUGAAGGCCUUAGGGUUGUAAAGCUCUUUCACCGGUGAAGAUAAUGACGGUAACCGGAGAAGAAGCCCCGGCUAACUUCGUGCCAGCCGCCGCGGUAAAAC
rnacentral:rRNA from 1 species